ensembl:lncRNA
AGCCGAGACCAGAUCUACCCCUGUCCGCGCUCCAGGAGAAAACGGAUCUCUGCAACCAUCUCGUACGCUUUCCAGCCGCCCAUCCACCGGCCUCUCCUCCUUCAGUCAGCCUGCAAACCUAGAGGCCCGUUUGCAAAAAAAAAAAAAAAAAAAUACAGCGUGGAAAAGCCUCCACCGAGUUCGUACAAAGCCCUAGCUCUCUGAAUGGAUUCUUUGGUUUGUUUUUACUUUAACUGAUUUCAGCCUUUAGUCCUGCGCAAACCGCUCUGCUGCUGAGAGAUUUAAAGGAAAGGUUCUGCGCCUUUAAGAACUCAAUUCAGCUGCUCCACGGACUGAAGCACGCCAAGCCUCCCUGUCCUUCACCAUCUCCCGGAGCUUGCUCGGACUCCUGUCCAUUGAACCUUAAGGACUCCAGGUUUCCAUGGCCUAUAGCAGAAGAUGUUAGGACAGAAUCCAAACCCUCAGUAACACGACACGGAAAAUACAGAUUUGAGAAACAGAUGGUCUUACUUCCCAAUAAGGGGGAAAAAAUGAUUUUACGCAGGUUGGAGUGGAACCAGCGAAGACUUGCCACUCAAUUCCAGCACUAUGUGCCAGUCACAUACUUUACAGUGAAGCACUUGAACCCUCCCUCCAACAACCCUACCAUGGAAUCUACUAUUAACUGCACUUGAUAGAUUUGAAAACAGUCACGUGGGCUUUCUGGGGGCUCAGUGGUAAAGAAUCCACCUGCCAAUGCAGGAGACACGGGUUCAAUCCCUGGUCCAGGAAGAUCCCACAUGCCAUGGGACAGCUAAGCCAGUGUGCUACGGCUACUGAGCCUGAGCUCUGGAGCCAGCAAGCCACAACUGCUGAGCCCGCAGGCCCUAGAGCCUGUGUGCCACGAGAAAAGCCACUGAGAUGAGAAGCCUGAGCACUGCAACCAGAGAGUAACCGCCCUACCACGAGAAAAGCCAUUGAAAUGAGAAGCCUGAGCACUGCAACUACAGAGUAACCGCCCUGCUCGCUGCGACUAGAGAAAAGCCUGCUUGCAGCAACGAAGACCCAGCACAGCCA